GGAAGGAAAACGCCGCUUUGACUGUGCCUUGUUCUCACAGCUGGCGGGAAGCAAGCGCCUUUUCGAAAGCCAGAGGCUCGAGUUACCCCUCUUACCACCGUCAUGGCAGUCCCAGUUGUUGAAAUUACCUCCAACAUUCAUGUCAGUGAUUCACCACUCUCCAUGAAGAGCUGAACUGGCACAAGUGGCAACGUAUGUUACUGAUGUAAUUGGCACAAAACUGUUUUCUUAUUAUCUCCUUCACUGAAGCCCUAUAGCCAAGAAAUAAAUUCUACUGGGUGCGGUGGCUCUUACCUACAAUCCCAGCACCUUGAGAGGCCAGAGGAGGAUCGCUUGAGGCCAGAAGUUUGAGAUCGCCUGGGCAACAAAGCACAACCUCAUCUCUGCAAAAAAAUUUAAAAGUUAGCCAGGUGUGGUGGCACAUGCCUGUAGUCUCAGCUGCUUGGGAGGCUAAGGUUGCAACAAGGACAGUGUCAGAGCAGGCUGUAAAAAAUGUGGCUACCCUGGUCACCUGACUUUUGAAUGCCGCAAUUUUCUCCGAGUAGACCCUAAAAGGGACAUAGUUUUG
rnacentral:lncRNA from 10 species